GAAUGCAUUAAACUUAAGAAGGUGUAGCAGUAACAGGAGUGUGGCGUUAGCAAAAUGUUGGAAAUUACGACAUGAAUAAAAACGAACUGUGUUGAAUAAAAGCGAAUGAACAGGGAGUGUAACGUAUACGGCGAGGAAUAAUCGUAAUGCCAAGUUAGGAGAAUAAGUAUGGCAGAGGGAAACAUUCUCGUUGGUAUUUGUGGCACUAAGGACGAACAAAACAAUGAAUGGUAUAGUAAGGACGGUUGGUUAUACAAAUGGGUUGCAUUCCAUAUGCAAGUUCCUCGGGAAAAUUGUAUAGAAUCGAGAGGAAUGAAUAGACUGAAAUCGUUAGUCUUUGCAGAUAUGGAAGAAUUUGCACAAUAGCAUCUAAUAUAUGGAGGAGUUUCAUUACAACUGAAAGCUUGUUAAAUGAAGCUUUAAAAAUGACAACAGGGAGGUUUCUUUUUCAGGUCGAGAAGGAUUUCUUAUUCGAUUUUUAAUGAAAAUAUUCGAUAUCAAAAUUCUUUGUUUAGGUUAAAAUAUUUUGAUAAAGACUUAACGUUCUGUUCAUCCGAUCGUCUAUGGAAGAAAAAAGCCAAGUAAAAGUAAGAAUGUCUCGUGGUAAUUUAAAAAAAUGAAGUGAUCUCUCUUGAAUAGAAGUAGGCUGAUAAGAUAUGUGACACCCCGAAUCAUGUAUCUGAAAAAGUUAUACAAUAUUAUUUUAUUAUAAUGUGUAUAGCACCGUCUCCUACUCUAUAUACUCUUAUACCAUACGAUGAGUUCUAAUAAAAGCUUUGAAAGCUGGACAUUAACAAGAA